rnacentral:rRNA from 1 species
GACGUAGGGCGCGAGCGUUGUCCGGAUUUAUUGGGCGUAAAGAGCUCGUAGGCGGCUUGUCGCGUCGACUGUGAAAACCCGCGGCUUAACUGUGGGACUGCAGUCGAUACGGGCUAGCUAGAGUUCGGUAGGGGAGACUGGAAUUCCUGGUGUAGCGGUGAAAUGCGCAGAUAUCAGGAGGAACACCGUGGCGAAGGCGGGUCUCUGGGCCGAUACUGGCGCUGAGGAGCGAAAGCGUGGGGAGCGAACAGG